UUGCUAUAGUGUAAGAAGCACGGCAUCUUUUCAUGAUGCAAGUGUAGGAACUACUAGCAGU
rnacentral:tRNA from 1 species